rnacentral:rRNA from 1 species
UGUGCCAGCAGCCGCGGUAAUACAGAGGGUGCAAGCGUUAAUCGGAAUUACUGGGCGUAAAGCGAGCGUAGGUGGCUUGAUAAGUCAGAUGUGAAAUCCCCGGGCUUAACCUGGGAACUGCAUCUGAUACUGUUAGGCUAGAAUAGGUGAGAGGAAGGUAGAAUUCCAGGUGUAGCGGUGAAAUGCGUAGAGAUCUGGAGGAAUACCGAUGGCGAAGGCAGCCUUCUGGCAUCAUAUUGACACUGAGGUUCGAAAGCGUGGGUAGCAAACAGGAUUAGAUACCCUGGUAGUCCACGCCGUAAACGAUGUCUACUAGUCGUUGGGUCCCUUGAGGACUUAGUGACGCAGCUAACGCAAUAAGUAGACCGCCUGGGGAGUACGGCCGCAAGGUUAAAACUCAAAUGAAUUGACGGGGGCCCGCACAAGCGGUGGAGCAUGUGGUUUAAUUCGAUGCAACGCGAAGAACCUUACCUGGUCUUGACAUAUCUAGAAUCCUGCAGAGAUGCGGGAGUGCCUUCGGGAAUUAGAAUACAGGUGCUGCAUGGCUGUCGUCAGCUCGUGUCGUGAGAUGUUGGGUUAAGUCCCGCAACGAGCGCAACCCUUGUCCUUAGUUACCAGCGGGUUAAGCCGGGAACUCUAAGGAUACUGCCAGUGACAAACUGGAGGAAGGCGGGGACGACGUCAAGUCAUCAUGGCCCUUACGACCAGGGCUACACACGUGCUACAAUGGUAGGUACAGAGGGCA